GACGAACGCUGGCGGCGUGCUUAACACAUGCAAGUCGAACGGUGAAGCGCCUUCCUUUUUGGUGGGCGUGGAUGAGUGGCGAACGGGUGAGUAACACGUGAGUAACCUGCCCCCUUCUUCUGGAUAACCGCAUGAAAGUGUGGCUAAUACGGGAUAUUCUGGGUCUGUCGCAUGAUGGGUCUGGGAAAGAUAUUGUUUCGGUGGGGGAUGGGCUCGCGGCCUAUCAGCUUGUUGGUGGGGUGAUGGCCUACCAAGGCGGUGACGGGUAGCCGGCCUGAGAGGGUGGACGGUCACACUGGGACUGAGACACGGCCCAGACUCCUACGGGAGGCAGCAGUGGGGAAUAUUGCACAAUGGGCGCAAGCCUGAUGCAGCGACGCCGCGUGAGGGAUGGAGGCCUGCGGGUUGUGAACCUCUUUCGCCAGUGAAGCAGGCCUGCCUCGUUUGUGGGUGGGUUGACGGUAGCUGGAUAAGAAGCGCCGGCUAACUACGUG
rnacentral:rRNA from 1 species